rnacentral:rRNA from 1 species
CGGCGGCCACCGCUAUAGGAAUUCGAUUAAGACAUGCGAGUCGAGAGUCGUAAUGGACUCGGCGGACUGCUCAGUAACACGUGGAUAACGUGCCCUUAAGUGGAGGAUAAUCUCGGGAAAUUGAGGAUAAUACUCCAUAGACUACGAAAUCUGGAAUGAUUCAUAGUUGAAAGUUCCGGCGCUUAAGGAUCGGUUUGCGGCCUAUCAGGUUGUAGUGGGUGUAACGUACCUACUAGCCUAUGACGGGUAUGGGCCUUGAGAGAGGGAGCCCAGAGUUGGAUUUUGAGACACGAAUCCAGGCCCUACGGGGCGCAGCAGUCGCGAAAACUUCACAAUGGGGGCAACCCCGAUGAGGGAAUUCCUAGUGCUAGCACAAUUGUGUUAGCUUUUCUCUAGCGUAGAUAACUGGAGGAAU